rnacentral:rRNA from 1 species
CCUACGAGUGGCAGCAGUGGGGGAUAUUGCACAAUGGGGGAAACCCUGAUGCAGCGACGCCGCGUGUAGGAAGACGGUCCUCUGGAUUGUAAACUACUGUCCCCAGGGACGAAGAUGACGGUACCUGGGGAGGCAGCUCCGGCUAACUCCGUGCCAGCAGCCGCGGUAAUACGGAGGGUGCAAGCGUUACUCGGAAUCACUGGGCGUAAAGAGCGGGGAGGCGGGAUAGCAAGUCAGAUGUGAAAUCCUAUGGCUUAACCAUAGAACGGCAGUUGAAAAUGUUAUUCUAGAGUAGGGGAGAGGGAGGUGGAAUGCUUGGUGUAGGGGUAAAAUCCAUAGAGAUCAAGAGGAAUACUCAUUGCGAAGG